GACGAACGCUGGCGGCGUGCUUAACACAUGCAAGUCGAACGGUAAGGCCCUGCUUUUGUUGGUGGCUCGAGUGGCGAACGGAUGAGUAACACGUGAGUAACCUGCCCUGGACUUUGGUAUAACUUCACGGCACUGGGGCUAGUACCGGAUAGGAGCUCCUGCUGCAUGGUGGUGGUUGGACAGGUGCGGCGGUUGGGUCUGGACUUGCGGGGUAUCAGGUUGUUGGUGGGGUAGUGGCUUACCAAGGCUUUGACGGGUAGCCGGCCUGAGAGGGUGACCGGCACCAUGGGGACUGCGACGCGGGGCAGAAGCGGACGGGAGGGAGCAGUGGGGAAUAGUGCACAACGGGGGGGAGGCGGAUGCAGCAACGCCGCGUGGGGGAUGAAGGCCUUUGGGUAGUAAAGCGGGUUUGCCUGGGAUGAAGCGGGAGUGACGGUAACGGGUAAAGAAGCACCGGCUAACUACGUG
rnacentral:rRNA from 1 species